UCGCUGCCCAGGUUUCCUGUCCUUGAGGACCCGGGCCUGGCGUGCCUGGGACGUCAAUUCGGCAUCUUGUGUUCUCUUCUGGCAUCCAUGAAACAGUGACAGGCCCCACAGACCCUUCACAGAUCCUGAAACUACUCGUCUGCCUAAGAGAAUCACGACACUGUUGGCAUAAUCUUCACCUCCUUAUGCUUUCCCUUCCAUGAAGCUGAGAAAGAGGAUGAGUCAAGUAACAUAAUAAACUUCUGAGAAGUGAUCAAGUCCUUGACUGGGAGAAUAACCAUCAUCAUGACACAGUCUCCAUGAGAAAAUUCAGAUUCAUCUUAUGUACUUCAAAUCACAUGCCUUUUCCAGGAAUGCAGCCUCCUAUAGCACCAUCUGGAUGUGGCAAAGUAUACAGCCUGUGGGAUUAAUUGACCAAAGAAGAAUGUUAGAAUUCCAGCUAAUUCAUGAAGUGUCCUUGGGAAGAUCACUUAUUUUCUCUAGGCUUCUGCAAAAUGGCAGCUUUUUAAUGAAAUCAUCUUCUGGGAUCUUAAAGGUUUCUCUUAGUAGACUAAGAAGCUAA
rnacentral:lncRNA from 1 species